UACGAAGGGGGCUAGCGUUGCUCGGAAUCACUGGGCGUAAAGGGUGCGUAGGCGGGUUUUUAAGUCGGAGGUGAAAUCCUGGAGCUCAACUCCAGAACUGCCUUUGAUACUGAAAGUCUUGAGUAUGGGAGAGGUGAGUGGAACUGCGAGUGUAGAGGUGAAAUUCGUAGAUAUUCGCAAGAACACCAGUGGCGAAGGCGGCUCACUGGCCCAUAACUGACGCUGAGGCACGAAAGCGUGGGGAGCAAACAGG
rnacentral:rRNA from 1 species